rnacentral:tRNA from 1 species
UCCCUGAUAGCUCAGUUGGUAAAGAAUCUGCCUGCAAUGCAGGAGACCCUGGUUCAAUUCCUUGGUUGGGAA